CUCGAACGCUAGGCGGUAGGCCUAACACAUGCAAGUCGAACGGCAGCACAGUAGAGCUUGCUCUUAUGGGUGGCGGUGGCGGACGGGUGAGGAAUACAUCGGAAUCUACCUUUUCGUGGGGGAUAACGUAGGGUCAAACUUACGCUAAUGUCGCAUACGACCUAGGGGUGAAAGCAGGGGACCUUCGGGCCUUGCGCGGAUAGAUGAGCCGAUGUCGGAUUAGCUAGUUGGCGGGGUAAAGGCCCACCAAGGCGACGAUCCGUAGCUGGUCUGAGAGACUGAUCAGCCACACUGGAACUGAGACACGGUCCAGACUCCUACGGGAGGCAGCAGUGGGGAAUAUUGGACAAUGGCAGCAAGCCUGAUCCAGCCAUACCGCGUGGGUGAAGAAGGCCUUCGGGUUGUAAAGCCCUUUUGUUGGGAAAGACUAGCAGUCGGCUAAUACCCGGUUGAGCUGACGGUACCCAAAGAAUAAGCACCGGCUAACUUCGUGCCAGCAGCCGCGGUAAUACGAAGGGUGCAAGCGUUACUCGGAAUUACUGGGCGUAAAGCGUGCGUAGGUGGUUGUUUAAGUCUGUUGUGAAAGCCCUGGGCUCAACCUGGGAAUUGCAGUGGAUACUGGGCGACUAGAGUGUGGUAGAGCGUAGUGGAAUUCCCGGUGUAGCAGUGAAAUGCGUAGAGAUCGGGAGGAACAUCCAUGGCGAAGGCAGCUACCUGGACCAACACACUAACUGAGGCACGAAAGCGUGGGGAGCAAACAGGAUUAGAUACCCUGGUAGUCCACGCCCUAAACGAUGCGAACUGGAUGUUGGGUGCAAUGAGGCACGCAGUAUCGAAGCUAACGCGUUAAGUUCGCCGCCUGCCGAGUACGGUCGCAAGACUGAAACUCAAAGGAAUUGACGGGGGCCCGCACAAGCGGUGGAGUAUGUGGUUUAAUUCGCACCAACGCGAAGAACCUUACCUGGUCUUGACAUGUCGAGAACUUUCCAGAGAUGGAUUGGUGCCUGAGGGAACUCGUACACCGGUGCUGCAAGGCUGUCACGAGCUCGUUCGAAAGAUGUUGGGUUAAGUCCCGCAACGAGCGCAACCCUUGUCCUAGUUGCCAGCACGUAAUGGUGGGAACUCUAAGGAGACCGCCGGUGACAAACCGGAGGAAGGUGGGGAUGACGUCAAGUCAUCAUGGCCCUUACGACCAGCCCUACACACGUACUACAAUGGUAGGGACAGAGGGCUGCAAACCCGCGAGGGCAAGCCAAUCCCAGAAACAGUAUCUCAGUCCGGAUUGGAGUCUGCAACUCGACUCCAUGAAGUCGGAAUCGCUAGUAAUCGCAGAUCAGCAUUGCUGCGGUGAAUACGUUCCCGGGCCUUGUACACACCGCCCGUCACACCAUGGGAGUGUGUUGCACCAGAAGCAGGUAGCUUAACCUUCGGGAGGGCGCUUGCCACGGUGUGGCCGAUGACUGCAGUGAAGUCGUAACAAGGUAGCCGUAUCGGCCUAUGC
rnacentral:rRNA from 1 species